CACGUAGGGCGCAAGCGUUGUCCGGAAUUAUUGGGCGUAAAGAGCUCGUAGGCGGUCUGUUGCGUCUGCUGUGAAAACUCGGGGCUUAACCCCGAGCCUGCAGUGGAUACGGGCAGACUAGAGGUAGGUAGGGGAGAAUGGAAUUCCCGGUGUAGCGGUGAAAUGCGUAGAUAUCAGAAGGAAGACCAGUGGCGAAGGCGGGUCUCUGGACCGAUAUUGACGCUGAUGCGCGAAAGCCAGGGGAGCAAACGGG
rnacentral:rRNA from 1 species